UCAGAUAUGGUGUAGUGGUAACAGGGCCUCUCUUUGUGGUUUUGAUAGAAAUGACUCUGAGGCAGUCCUGGGUUCGAACCCCGGUGGCUGAA